GGGGUCUCCAACGUCACACCAUUAAGCUGGAUUGAUGAUGCUACAGAGGGACUAGUUUGCACCUGUUGAUGAAGCACUUUGGUUUUUUUAAUAUUAAGUGAGAGCCCAAGCUUUUCAUAUGCUUCUGCAAAGACAUUUAGGAUAGUUUGAAGAUCUUUCUCUGAAUGUGCACAGACUACAUUAUCAUCGGCAUAUUGAAGUUCUACGACAGAGGUUGACAUAACCUUACUUUUUGCUUCCAGCCUACUGAGAUUAAAAAGCUUUCCAUCUGUUCGAUAUAUGAUUUCCACACCAGUAGGAAGUUUCCCCUCAAUAAGAGAAGCUGCCAGACCCCCGUCAAGCACCUGAGACUCCGCUUCCACCUAUACUAAUUGAUGGGCAGGAGGAGUUUGAAGUGGAGCAGAUCCUGGAUUCCCGCCAGCACCAGGAAAGUUGCAGUACUUGAUCCAUUGGAUGAGAUUCGGUCCAGAGGAAAGAUUGUGGGAGGCAGUGACCGACGUGCACGCGGCGGAUUUGGUGAGAGUUUCAUGAAGCUUACCCGGACAAGCCCAAACCCCCAGGGUGGGGAAAAUUUGACAUGGGAGGAAAGAUGAUGAGGGCGAUACCAACUUUGUGGACUGGGACGACGAGCUGAGGGAGGGACUGAGCAACGUGGAGAGUUCACAGUGCGCCCAGUCCCCUGGUAUCCCUGUUGGAGAGCAACCUGAAUUGUCAGAGACUGCCCUGUCAGAGACUGCUCCAUUAGACACGCCCCCACACCUGAGGCACCGCAGCUUCCCACGGUUGAGCAGGCAGUUAGCUCCCACCAGUCAGAGGGGGAGGCUGAGAUCCAGUCCCCAUCGCCUCAAGCUCAUAGGCUUCAGAGGAGUGAAAUUCAACAGACGGAAUUAAGGAGGAGCCGUAGUUUACGCUCGAAAGCCAAGCCUACUUAAGUGGACUCGGGAGGGGUUUGUUGCUGAGUCAACAUCUGAGUGCUGUGAAUAUAUGCUUAGUCAGUGUUAGCCACGGCAAAAGUUCCUAGAAAGAGUAGUUAGGUUGAUGAGUCAUAAAGCUUUUGAUAUAUCUGUUACUUUAAUAAAAAGAGAAAAACUCACAGAA